GACGAACGCUGGCGGCGUGCCUAAUACAUGCAAGUUGAGCGAUGAAGAUUGGUGCUUGCACCAAUUUGAAGAGCAGCGAACGGGUGAGUAACGCGUGGGGAAUCUGCCUUUGAGCGGGGGACAACAUUUAGAAACGAAUGCUCAUACCGCAUAACAACUUUAAACAUAAGUUUUAAGUUUGAAAGAUGCAAUUGCCUCACUCAAAGAUGAUCCCGCGUUGUAUUAGCUAGUUGGUGAGGUAAAGGCUCACCAAGGCGAUGAUACAUAGCCGACCUGAGAGGGUGAUCAGCCACAGUUGGACUGGGACACGGCCCAAACUGCUACGGGAGGCAGCAGGAGGGAAUCUUCGGCAAUGGGCGAAAGGCUGAACGAGCAACGCCGCGUGAGUGAAGAAGGGUGUCAGAUCGUAAAAAUCUGUUGGUAGGGAAGAACGUUGGUGAGAGUGAAAAGCUCAUCAAGUGACGGUAACUACCCAGAAAGGGACGGCUAACUACGUG
rnacentral:rRNA from 1 species